AUCGGUCAACAUUGGAUGUUCAUAUUCUUUUGAUAGAUGAGUCCAGUUUAACCGUUGU
rnacentral:pre_miRNA from 2 species